rnacentral:rRNA from 1 species
GGACGCGGCAGGCUGCGAAAAGCUUCGGGGAGCUGCCUAACAGGCUAUGAUCCGGAGAUGUCCGAAUGGGGGAACCCGUCCCGGGUAAUGUCGGGACACUGUACACUGAAUACAUAGGUGUGCAGGGCGAACCGGGUGAACUGAAACAUCUCAGUAACCCGAGGAAAAGAAAUCAACAGAGAUUCCCGAAGUAGCGGCGAGCGAACCGGGAGCAGCCCAAACCGUGUAUUUUCGGAUAUGCGGGGUUGCAGGACCGUCAUAAGUGAUCCGUGAGUAGACAGGAGAACGAUUUGGAAAGAUCGGCUAUAGAAGGUGAAAGCCCUGUAUCCGAAAUCGGAAGCGGCACGGACGGCACCUGAGUAGGACGGGACACGAGGAAUCCUGUCUGAAUCCGGGAGGACCAUCUUCCAAGGCUGAAUACUACCUGACGACCGAUAGUGAACCAGUACCGUG